rnacentral:misc_RNA from 1 species
CCGAGUUUACAACUCCCAAACCCCUGUGAACAUACCUAUACGUUGCCUCGGCGGAUCAGCCCGCGCCCCGUAAAAAGGGACGGCCCGCCCGAGGACCCCUAAACUCUGUUUUUAGUGGAACUUCUGAGUAAAACGAACAAAUAAAUCA